AACAGAGGACUGUUAUAGUUGAUGAGUCUACACAACAGGAGGCUGGCCCCACCUAGUGCAAGGAUUUGGGAACUGUGACAUCACCCUGGAGGCAAUGCUAGCUCCCCAUGAUCCAUGGCCACAUUGUUAGGGCUAUGGAAACCUGAUGGUUUGAGGGCAGACCACCAAGAGAAUUGUUACAUCACAUCCCCAGCUAGACCAGGCUUAGUUUGUUUGUAAGAAAGGCAAUAUUUUUGUUGAAUUUCACAUUUUCUACCAAGUAACGAAUUAACCUUUUUGAAAUCGCAGAGGAGAUCACAGCAGGAAAAUGAAGCCAUAUCCUGUACACGCUGGCUAGCACAUAUGAACCAUCAGAGAGAUGGAGGGCAAUGCCUGGAGGAAGGACGGGAAGAGGGAAUAUAAGAACAUUCAGUACUAAUGGAUUCCAAACUCCGUGUGAUAACUAGCCGGUCCUGGACCAGUUUAUCAUCGCAGUGUGGACUGAUUCUCUUUUGCAGGAAGUUAGUUUUGACUUCACCAGCUGGAUUGGAGGGCACCUGUGGCAUACCUUGUCCUAUUGCUGUGGGGGACUUCGUCCAGCUUUUAGACAUGCAAGACUAAAUGUGAUUACCAUCUAUACGGGUGAGCAGCCAACAGGGUGGUGCUUUCUGUACUAGAAGAGUCAACAGCCACAACGCCUCACCCCAACAGCUUCAAAUGACAUGCCGAGAACAGCACGUAGAAUCCCCAUAUGUUUACAUGGUGUCGGUGCCCUUUGAAAAUCUGAUUAGCUCUUUUAAUUACCAUGGACACUUUCAGCACUUAGCUGAGAUUUGCAGGCGCUUUAAAUGAGAAUGUGUGCCCCGGCACUUACUAAGCACAUCAGCGAAAGCUUCACAGCGCACCAUCAGCCAGGCCUGCUGCUGCUAGACCCUCUGCCAGAC